AUUUUGUAUUUGAUAUGGAUUUUAUACCUUUAUUCGAUUCUUCUUGCUCUCAAACCCUAGAUUGUAUCUUCACCUUCACGUUUCCUAAGUUUGAGUUUUUUUCUUCUUUUUGCAAUCAAACCCUAAUUUCUAAUCGCCUCCUGCACGUACUAUUUAUUCUUCCUAAUCGGUUUCUUCUCUCUGGAAACCCUAAAAUCUAUAGCCAUUUUAUUAUUCAUUCGAAUUCAACAUGGUUUGUGGCUACAAAUCAGAUACAUGACCACAAUUUUUCCGAGAAUGAAUUUUUUUGUCGGAAGAGGGAUGUGUUGGGAGGAUGGUGUGAUUCAGGCAGCAUUUUUAUAGCCGAUGUAGUCUAAAGAUGAAGCCCAGGCCACCGAAGGUUAGUUGCUUCAGAUGUAUUUUCGGCUUCAGAUGUAUUUUCGUUUCUUUAGGGUAAUGUAGCACCAGUAGUGGGAAGCACAGACAAGGGCGUUGCAUCAGGUUACUUCAAUUUUGGUUGUGUGUUGUGUAAAAUGAUCAUCUUUUGGAUUCUGUUAAUUGCUCGAUUUCAUUUGGGUUUGAUUAUGUUUUUUCUUGACCUACAGCCUACUUCCGUGGUAUUCAUUCUUGAUUUAUGUCUGAGUUUUGCAUGUAGUUUUUUAUUUAUUUAUAAAAUCUUAAUCUUCUUCAUGAAACAAAUGGAUAAUGUUAUUUACCUAUUUAUAUCAUUUUAUUGUUAAUUGUUAAAAUGGUGGAACCGAAUUUAAUGUCGAGGUUUAAGAAAUUGAUUGAGAAAACGAUAUUAGUGGCCACUGAUUUAUUUCAAAUAUUCAAACCUAAAAAAAUGAAGUGCGGAUAUUUUCAUCGAGUUAGGCUUAAUUUUUGCCCCAACAAAGUGUUGACAGGUUACAGGUCGUGCAAAUUGAUGUGUCAUGAUAGUAUAUGUGUCUCAAUGUGGGGCUUGGGAAGUUUGUAGCUGAUUGUGAGCGAAAUAUCCAGUAUUUCAGCCUGGUAAGCUAUGAAACAGUGUGGAUUACUUUUUUGUUCUGUUUUGGCAUGAUGGCAUGGCAGUAGUUGAUGAAAAUGGAUUGGUCAGGAAAUAAUAAAAAGACUCUAUGUUAUAAGCAAUAGUCUUCAUUGAGUGGGCAUGGGCAUGUUUCAGUAAGUAUAAAUGAAUCUUGAAAUUAUUUAACCUCACAAUUUGACAGAGAAAUCGAAGAAAUAGGCGAUCAAAAGUUCUUCUGGUUCAUUGAAGGAUACUAUUAUGUGAUUUGCUUCACAAAACAUUUAAUUUAGUAAUUGUGGUUCAAGUGAUGCAAUAUAAUUAUCGAAACUUAUAAAUUGGUUGUUUGUUUUGUUAUCGUGCGAUCGGCAGCAGUUCAACCACACACAACUCAGUCAUCCACUCCUCUUCAUGGAUCAGGUAAGUGGAAUGGGAAAUUACCAUUUUAUUCUAAUACUACAAUACGACUACAGUGGAAUUCAAUCUAAAUCAGAUCAAACAAGCGUGAUUCACAACUAGAAAUAGUGCCACGAUGGAGCAUCGCAGAAAACUUGCCUUGGGAGACUCAGAAAUAUUGCAAACCAUCAUUUUAGUGGAUGGAUACCAAAGGAGCUUCUUUCGGUUCCUACUUUCAUGUGAUCCGAAAAGUGUGGUGGUCACGGAAUUAAGUUCGGCAGCGAUAAACGGUGGUUGAACACAACAAUAGUAAAGGUGGUGUGAUUCAGUGGUGACUAGCAGCGGUGGUGGCACGGAGGUGCGACAGUGACAAAGCUGGUGCGGCGUAAGGAAAUGGAGCUACUAUUCUCUCAGCGACAAUGUUGGUAGUAUGUGGCUGCUGGUAAGUGGUGGUGUUGCGGCAGAAGUUGAUGGGGUGAGAGAAUUUGAGUGUGGUUAAUAUGAAGAAUGCAACAAGUAGUACUUUCGUAGUUGCAUGAAAACUAACAUAUUUUGAGACCCCUCUAUAGAUUGUGAGGAAAAACAAACAAGGGCAACAACUUCCUUAACCUAUGGAUUAGGGCUUAAAAUCCGGUUAUAUGGGGAAGACGAUAAAAGUUGAAUAUGAUAGUUAUUUGAUCAGGUUUACGCUGCCCCUUUUAGCUGAUAUCACAGACCUGCACAGGGAAGUCAAAAAGAGAUUUCUGGAAUUAGAACACCAAACAUUCCGUGUGGAGUAUGAUGACGCUGGAGGUAACCCUCUUCUUAUUUUGAGUGGUGAAGACCUCCUGGCUUGCAUAGCUGAGUCAAGUCUAAAAGGGUGUGGUUCAUCAAAAUGUGUGUUUUGUUACACAUAUAGUGUGAUAACAUCUUUUUUUGUUAUAUGUAAAGUUGGUUGCUGCCCAGGAUUACAUUAUUGGUUAAUUAGUUAGGGUGGUGAGGGGUGGGAAACCUGGACGCCCCCAGGUAAUUCCACAUGGGAUCGGCCGAUUUGGUAAUUGGGUCAAAAGACAACAUAUGUAGGUCACUUUCAUAUAUGUUGGUCAAAAGACUAUGAAAUUAACCUGAUUAAACUAUUUGGUCUAAAGACAACAUAUGUAGGUCACUUUCAUAUGUAGUACUUUAUUUUAUUUCUUAUUUUCUUUAUGUUACUUUACUUUUGUUACGUUGUGAGGUGCUGUGUUCAUGGGACAGCUGGGCUGCUUGUAGGCUAGCUGGAGUAAAGUUCAACUUGGGCUACAGCCCGGGAAAGCUACGAGUUAAAGUACUAAAAUUAAAGCAGUCAAAUAAAUACGCGAAAAAGAAAAAGACGUUGGCGGAUACAGAAGAAGCGGCUCCAAUGGUUUUCAUGAUGGUGCCGGUGAAGAACAACAUGGCUGGAGUCCCGAGUCCAUCGCCAACGGCACCGAUUAAUCCAACAGCCAUCAUAAACAUGUUGGCUCUAUCUGCAUGCAUGAAAAGUGACUGGAAUGACCCGUCCUUACUGGCAUUUGUUUCUUUCCUAUGCUUACUGGUCAUAGUUUACAGGAUAGGUGGCUAUACCGUGUUCAAAAAUGGAAAGAAACCUAUAUGGUGUUUAAAUAUGGUGGCUGAUACAAGAAUGAUAUAUAUUUUGGUGUGAUGUCAACUUCCAAGCUAUCCACCUGUGUGUGUCAUUAUUUAUUAGAUAAAAAUACUUAUAUAUAUUUUAUUUAUUUAUUUAUUAUUAUUGUUGUUGUUGUUGUUAAAGGGAGCAGAGUAUAAAUACGGUUAUAGGUUCACCUUAGGUAUUCGGUAAGAAACUUUGUAUUAAGUUGUACAUACUAUUUGAUUAUAGGAGACAAAAGCUAUCAAGAGCAGAGAAAUUCUUUAGAUGACCAAGUGAGUUAUCACAUUGAAGGGGCCAAUGUAAAAUUAUGGGUUGCCGGUGAUUUUUAGGAUGAAAAUGAUGGUCCCAUAAAGGAUAAAGGAUGACGAUAUAACAUAUGAUUUCUAAAAUGAGUAGAUCGGGUGAUCAUUUUUUAAGCAAGUUGCACUUUAAUUACAAAAGGAUAACUGUCAUGGGAUGUUGUUUGGUAUAGGUACUUGGAUCAGCUCGGAAUGUCAUCUGUUCAUGACACGAAAACGUACUCCAGGCAGAUGUUGAUUGGAGGAAACUAUGGUUUGCUUAAUACUACAACUUUUGAGCCAAAUUCGGAUUACUACAGGAGGGAAUAACACUACUAUUGAUCAAUCUAGACAGCAAAAUUACAGUUGAUGUAAGCUUGUCUCUAGAUAGCGCUUGGAGUUUACAUAAACUAAACUCGCAUGUUCAUUAUCAUCGUCAUAAAUCAAACAAACCGCGCCAUUCCAAGAUUAGUGGAACAAAAACACAAGAAGAAUACCAUUUAACCGCUAAAGACGGGGAUCUACACAGUCAAGUGAUCAUUCUUAAUGGUAAAGAACUAGGAGUAAAUUCAAAUGGCGAGAUACCACAAUUCGAGCCUGUGAAUGUGGAUUCUUCAGAGCCCAUAAGUGUUGCUCCCUUUUCGAUUGUGUUUGCUCAUAUCCCAAAUGUUACUUUGUAUGCGUGCGGGAAUUAGUUGGUAUAACAUAUAUAUAUACAUAGCAUGGAAUGGAACUGAGAAUCAGCUUCAUUCUGUUUAUUGAUUAAAUGAUAUUAUGUAUAUUAUGAUUUAAAUGCAAUUCUAAAUUUAAUAGAUUUAAUGCAACAUUUAUUUA